UGAGCGGAGAUAUAUGGAGCUUGCUUUAUAUAACUUAGCAGCGAACGGGUGAGUAACACGUAGAUAAUCUAUCCUAUACUGGGGGAUAGCCCGAUGAAAGUUGGAUUAAUACCGCAUAUAGCUAUAUAGUUGCAUGAUUAUGUAGUGAAAGAUUUAUUGGUAUAGGAGGAGUCUGCGGCACAUUAGCUAGUAGGUGAGGUAAAGGCUUACCUAGGCGACGAUGUGUAGCCGGUCUGAGAGGAUGAACGGCCACAAUGGAACUGAGACACGGUCCAUACUCCUACGGGAGGCAGCAGUGGGGAAUAUUGCACAAUGGGGGAAACCCUGAUGCAGCAACGCCGCGUGAGUGAAGAAGGUUUUCGGAUUGUAAAGCUCUGUUAGCAGGGAAGAGGAAGGACGGUACCUGCAGAGGAAGCCACGGCUAACUACGUGCCAGCAGCCGCGGUAAUACGUAGGUGGCAAGCGUUGUUCGGAAUAACUGGGCGUAAAGGAUGCGUAGGCGGUUAAACAAGUUAUAUGUUAAAUAUAUAGGCUUAACCUGUAGAAAGCAUAUAAAACUGUUUAACUAGAGUGCAGGAGAGGUAAGUGGAAUUCCUAGUGUAGCGGUGAAAUGCGUAGAGAUUAGGAAGAACACCAGUGGCGAAGGCGACUUACUGGACUGUAACUGACGCUGAGGCAUGAGAGCAUGGGGAGCAAACAGGAUUAGAUACCCUGGUAGUCCAUGCUGUAAACGAUGGGUACUANGUGUGGGUUGUGAAUA
rnacentral:rRNA from 1 species